UACGUAGGGGGCAAGCGUUGUCCGGAAUUACUGGGCGUAAAGAGCUCGUAGGUGGUUUGUCGCGUUGUCCGUGAAAACUCACAGCUUAACUGUGGGCGUGCGGGCGAUACGGGCAGACUGGAGUACUGCAGGGGAGACUGGAAUUCCUGGUGUAGCGGUGGAAUGCGCAGAUAUCAGGAGGAACACCGGUGGCGAAGGCGGGUCUCUGGGCAGUAACUGACGCUGAGGAGCGAAAGCGUGGGGAGCGAACAGG
rnacentral:rRNA from 1 species